rnacentral:misc_RNA from 1 species
AACGCACAUUGCGCCCCGUGGUAUUCCGCGGGGCAUGCCUGUUCGAGCGUCAUUUCACCACUCAAGCCUCGCUUGGUAUUGGGCGACGCGGUCCGCCGCGCGCCUCAAAUCGACCGGCUGGGUCGAUCGCACCCUCAGCGUUGUGGAAACUAUUCGCUAAAGGAGUUGUGGUCGGUCACGCCGUGAAACAAACCAAUCUUUCAAUGGUUGACCUCGGAUCAGGUAGGGAUACCCGCUGAACUUAA